UGAUUGACGGGAAUGGAUUGCCUACCACACUUGGUUCUUCAGGCCGAACUCACAUUUUGUGUUUCAUGACGCGGGAGGAGUGAUGCCUGCCACUCUCUCUUCUUUCUUUCCAUUAUUGAUUAUUUUAUUAAUUCCCAUGUAUGCUUCAUGCGAUCAUGGCUCAUCCCCACUGCUAUUAAAAGGUAGAGAGCGGCUCUCCCUUAUCCAUGACAAGCACAUACUCACUUUUCCAUCAAAACCGCCAUUACCCAUCUCUCUCUCUCUCUCUCUCUCUCUCUCUCAAAUUAGAGAACAAAGAAGCCAUUUCCUGUUGAUAUCCUAAAGACAGGGAAAGUUGUAAUAGAUACUCACCAGACAUUGUUAAGGAUUUCUUCUUAGUUUCUUUCCCCAAACCAAUCGGCUUUACAUUUGCAAUCUCUGUUUGUAAAUCUGGAAAAAAUGGUUUCUUUGGUUUCUCGUACGAGAAGACACUUGCAGCUAUAGAGAUGGGCAUCGGCUUGUCGUUGGGUACGGAUUGUUUCUUCCCCUUUGUGGGUUCUUAAUUUCUUGAUUGUAUUUGAAGGGAAUGAGAAAUUUAGAAAUGGGUUUCUUGAGUUUGGCCGAUUCCAGAUUUUUGUAAAUUCUCUCGCCCUAAACUUCCCAUAAGGAUCGCAAUUUUUCCUAAUUUUGGUGGGCAGCUCCAUUUUCUACAGAUGCAUACCUUACAGAUACAAGCUCUGCCUGAAUGAUUCGACUCAGGAUUACUCCAAGGAAUGGGGGUUCGAGAAGCUACUGUUCCGAGACUAGCACAAGAAUCAGGAGAGACAACAAGUACGCAAUUCAGGCUAAGAAUGCUUACGCGAUGGAUGUACAUAUGUCGAAGAAUCUGAUCGGAAAAAUACUUCACAAGACGCAGACAAAGAUUCGAUACUACCAUUACGGUUGAGUACGAACCUUUGGUGUUCUCUCCAUGUAACUCCAAGAAAAGUUAAUUAAGAUAAUUUUGAGGAUUAAAA